AUCCCAAUCAACGGUGUAGUUAGACAGUAGAUUAGAUUAGACGAUUAGAGGUUGAGAGAUCAUGAUCAUAAAAUCUACCUUGUAAAUCAGCAAUUUGAUAAUCAUUCUUAAGUUAUUACAUGAGAUGUGAUACAUUAAACCUUAAGCAUGCUGCAACUCUGGAAUUUCCCCAAUCAUGGAAAUGAUGCAUUUAUUAGAUAAAAGGUCAAUGUGGUCUCUCCCUAUAGCUGUGAUGAUUCAUUAUAACUAGACAGAUCGCACAACCAUCAUGUUGGUGAUGUAUCAUUCAAAUUUAUGCCCAAUAAACUUUUGAUGAUAGGAUAGUGGCCUACCAUGGUGGUGACUGGUGAUGGAGAAUUAGGGUUUGAUUCUGGAGAGGGAGCCUGAGAAAUGACUACUACAUCCAAGGAAGACAAAAGGAGCACAAAUUACCUAAUCCUGACAUGGGGAGGUAGUGUCAAUUAAUAACUAUAUCGGCGCUAUGAGUCUAGUUAUUGGAAUGAGUACAAUCUAAAUCCUUUAACGAGGAUCCAUUGGAGGGAAAGACUGAUGUCUACAGUAGUGGUAAUUUCAGAUCCAAUAGCGAAUAUUUACAUUUUUGUAUUUAAAAGUUUCGUAGCUUGACUUCAGGAUGGGCUAAUCGGUCCAUCCUAGGUGUGCACUAGUCGUCUCGUCCCUUUUGUCGGUGAUGUGCUCCUGGUCUUAAUUGGCCGAGUCGUGCCUCUAGCGCUGUUACUUUGAAGAAAUUAAUGUUCUCAAAGCAAGACUACGCUAUGUAUACAUUAGCAUUUGAUAACUGUAACACCCUAGAAACUAGUAGGCUAACUAGAGCUUAACGUGAGGGUUAGAGUCAUGAAUAUAACUCCCCGUACAUAAAAUAAACGUUUUCGUGUUAGGACGUCAAGCUACGACUCCUCAAGGACCAACC
rnacentral:ncRNA from 1 species